CCCAGUUUUCGUCUCAACCCAUACCUCACCAUUAAGGUCUAAUCCUGGAAUGUUUGUUUGCGAUUGAUGUAUCUGCUGUUGAGUCUGCUGACCGGCGACUUGUGCUCCCUGCUUUAAACAGAUUAUCAUUUACCAACGUACAUUCAUGCUUGGUGGUCCCAUUCCAGGCGGUGGACCAUACGGGCCAGCACCAAGAGGUCCGUUCAUCAUGUGUGGAGGGGGCUGAAAAGUGACACAAACGAAAAUUAGUAUAAUCUUUAACGAUUUCACAAAUGCAUUGAUCAUCCAAGAGUUGAGAUCAUUCUCAGAAUUCGAAUAAACAGGCUACCAUUCCAGGUGGUCCCAUCAUGUUGGGAGGCCCCAUCAAAUUAGGGGGUCCCAUAGGGCCCCAGCUUGGAUCGAAUGGUGGCGGGCCACGAAAACGUGGUCCUCCAGGGCCUGGAGGACAAUUGGGACGCGGUGGACCUUCGAAAGGGAACCCAUUGUUUCCUCCUCUGAACAUUGGCCCACGUGGGCCAAAUCCUCGUCCUCUAAAUCUAGGGGGCCCACCUCUCAUUGGAAAGUCAAAUGCUCCCCGACCCCGACCCCUAAAAUAAAGACAUAAAAAAGGUGAUUACCUAUGCACUUAGAAUCACUUAUUACAGAUCAUCUAUCAACGGCAUAAAUAUGAAUAUCAGAAUAUUGAGUACGUACUUAAAAGCUCAAAGUUUUGAGAAAAUGUACAUUCAAAAUUUUAAGUCAAUUUUAAAUAUGAGUGAAUUGUGCUGAAAAUUAUAAACAAUAGUAAGAAAGUAUCAGACAAAAUAAUCAGUCCCACUCUUGACAAGAUUGGAAACAAAUCCAAAACUGUUACAAGAUUGCGAAUUAAAUAUUAUAGAGAAUUAGUGCGACCGAGAAUUAGAAAGAAACGGAAGCAAAUCAUUUUUCAAAUUCGCAGUUCUACAUGUAUCAGAACUUCUCAAAUGCCAGCUCUACAAGAUAAAUAUAUUGUCUGGAUAUUUCAAAUGAAAAUCAUGAGAAUCAAAUAACUUCUGACUGAUUUGUGGUUGGAAUUUACAAAGACAAAAUUUUUAUUUUUGCUAGCAUGUAUCAAUCUGUUUGCCAGACUAUUUAGAUUUUUUGGUGAUAACUUGUGUGGGAAUAUAAGUCUUUUGAAACAUGUUUUCCCUUUUAAUUUACCAAGUGUAACAGAAUAACAUCCAUAUUAAUCAUUUUCAGUUGAAAAAAAAAAUUGUUUCCAUGGCUACAUGUGUGUGUACAGAUAACACAUGACGUCCUCGUUAUUAUUAUGAUUAUUGCUGUAAUUUUUCUGGAGUGAAUAUUGCUUUCGAAAUCUUUCUUCGAACUUCAAUAAAUCUUUGCGAGGAGGUUAAUCGAGGUGGUCGGGAAAUUGGCGAGUAGCUUAAAAUUUCGACUCAGUAUUUUAUUACCUAAAACCUCCUCGGCCUCGCGGAAUAAAAGGCCUGUAGUCGUCACCAUCGAAAUUGUACUCCUCUGUUUCCUCUGUAGGUUCUUCGGUGGCUUCCUGCUCUGUAUUAGCGGCAGGCUCCAUAGUUGGAGCGGGUUGUUCACUGCUUACUUCCAUAGUGUGUUAA